GGUUACCAAUCAUGUGACCCGUGGGUUUCCCUUUGUCAUCCUUUGCCUGGAGGUGUCUGUAAGGCAGCGGCAGCAAAGGGAGGCUCAGCCAUCACUCACUUC
rnacentral:pre_miRNA from 11 species